GCGCAGAUAAAAGUGUCCAGCUCUCCUCUUCCUGGUAGGAGUGAAACUGCAUGUUCAGUUAUUAUCGCUGUGGGAAAGAAUUUAUAAAACAGAAACAAGUCUUGUAGUGGACAACAGUGUAAGUCAUAAAAAGGUCAUCAUGCAGUGUUCUAUCACAUGUAAACUUAUAUCAUUAACAGCUUAUACUAACUACUAAGUACAAUUUUCCAUUGACAGAAGACAACCAGUCAAAAAGCCACUGCUCUUAGUCCAGCCUCUAAACUGCUGUCAUUAUAAUUAAAUUUUAUUGGUUGUUUUGAAAUUUCAUUAUAUGGAAGCUCCUUUUCCAUUAAGUCAACAUGUAUCCCUCAUAUACAAAAAAUUUCGAGAGAAGGAUGUUGGAGCUAAAACACUCUGAAACCUGCACUUUUAACCCUCGCAGAUUACUUAUAACAAGUAUGACUGAAAAUAAGGAAAAGAAGGAAAUGUUUUUUUUAAACGUUUUAAUUUCCAAAUUUAUUUUGAACAGGUGCAGUGAAGCAAACAAAAAGUAAAAAUUUCCAAGCACAGUAAAUCAAAUGUUUAAACAUAUUAUCUUGUCAAUUCAAAGAAAAAACAAAAAAAAACAACCCACAAAACUGCAAGCAUGCUUGACAACAAACAGCAGUUCUGAUUUACACUCUACAGAUAAGGUUUGAUGACAUAAUAUUUCAUUAUAUGUGAGCUGUGGAAGGGUGGUGCUUUUUAGAGGCAAAUCACGACAACAGUUGCUUCAGGACAAUUUAUAUUGUAAGGUGAAGACCUUGCAAUAACACAGAGAAAACCCCAACAAUCACAUGACAACCAAUGAGCAAGGUUGUAGUAUUUUCGUUGUUACUUUUUUAAUGUCAACUCUUUCAUUUUUUCAUUUAGGUCUUCUGUUUUUUGAUCUUCUUGCUUUACGUUAAUUUUGACUUUUUCUCUGAACCAUGUGAGAAAUUCACCCCUUUUCUCAUUUGAAACAUAUAUCACACAUUCUCCAUUGCUGCCAUGGUUGUGUAACAUUAUGGUGCUUUUGUCUGUGUCAUAUUUGUAAGUGAUUAUUUUUUCAGUUUCAUCAGCAAACUCCUCUUUUAUCCAGUUUCUCCAUUUUUCUGGAUCUUUAGUAUGAAACUGGUAUUUAUCAUCUGUCGAUUUUCUUUGAUUUACAAACAGCUCUUCAGGUCUGCGCGCUCUUUCUUCCUUUCUGAAUUUCUUUUUUUCAUGCUCUGUUGCGCUUUCAUUGGGAUAGACAUAUUGUCGAGGAGUCAUCUAAAAGAAAAGAUAAAAAUUGCAUGAGCACAUUUAUUUUACGCCAUAUCCUCAGAAAUCUUGUAUUCAGUGCUCACAGUUCCACUGGUGUUUCUUGUGUUUUCUGCCAUUUCUUUGAAUCAGUUAACUUGGUUUGAAGAAGAGUCGACUGAUCCCACAGCGGCUUCCUGAGUGCAAAGGCAAACCUUAAUCAUUUGUACCAGAUAUCAUAUGUUCUGUUAUUCAAUCUAAGCUGCACGCAAGUCAUAAAAACCAUUGCCAAAACAAACAAACAAAACAUGAAUGAAUAACAGUAAAUUACCUGAGCUUGCACAUCCUGGUGUCUUAAAGUCUAAAUAAAUCUGUUUCCAAUUAAAAUUGUGCUGGUUGAAAAGCUAGUAUUAAUAAUUUGUUUUCCAACCCUGUUUACCUUUUCCCUCAUAAUGAUGCCCGUUGUUACACAUUUACUGUUUUCAGGUGUUCCCACGGUAAACUUUCAAAUUCAGUUUUUUUUUAAUCCUCUAUUAUUUUUAGGUUAUGAUGUCAUUAAAGUGUUUCUGAGUGUAAAAUAAACAAACGGAGAGUUAAAGACAUAUAAAAGGAUCUGUUACUUACUCAGUCUACUGCUUCAGGCAGAGUCUGUGAUUUUGCUGUUUCUCGAGCGUAGUCCAAGAGAAAUGACCUGCUGACGGCUUCUUUUCCCCUUUUAUACUUUCUCCCUUUUUUUUAUUUAUUUAAUUUUUACAAACAGCCAAUCAUAGAGCAGAAUCAGUGUUCACCAGGGACUGCAAAUAAAUACAAAGAAAUGUGUUUCUGUAAAACAAGUUAAUCUUCACCUUCAUACAGUUUAACCAAACACACACACACACAUUAAAGUUUAUUGAGUAUUUUUUGCCUGCUAGCUGUAGCAUGUUUAAUACUAGAGGAGGUUGCCAUGGUGAAGUGGGAGGAGUUUUCUUCAUAUUACAUUGAGAUGUUUGCGCCAUACAGGGUGUAAGAUGACCUGAGGGAUGGACUGAAGAGCCAAAAAGGAAGUUUAAACCACCAUCCUCAACUGUUUGGACCAAUCAUGUUAGCAUUCUGUUUUUAUGACACAUCAAAGUAUUUACUGCCGGGAUGUGGUGCUCUUUUCUUCGUUUGGGUCUCCUGAGCAAAGGAAGAGACAUGGAGUCGUUUUGAAUCAAUAAAAGCAACCAGGCAGUGUGAGCACUGCUGCUAGAUAGACUUAUUCUGCUGUACUUUAGUACUUAAAACCCUUUGUACAUCGUGCCUCAUCUACCCUGAUUCACA
ensembl:lncRNA